rnacentral:lncRNA from 1 species
AUACUACACAUCCAGAACGUCUUAAGAGGUGUGCUAUAACCUUUGAAGCAAAAUAAAUAAAUAAAAGUAAAAUAAAUAAAACUCUUCAGUAGUGACCCAUACCACCCUACAGUAGCAACUGCAUAGCAUUGUGUUGAAAACCAUUCAGAACAUCCUGGCAUAGCAACUUGCUAGUGAUUCAACACCCUAACAAUGGAAUAGCAACAUGCUAACAGUUUACAACAUGCUUUAAAUAGCAUAACAACUUACCAACAUCCAUUCAGAACACCCUGGAAAUGCCAUAACGACUUACUAACAGCCAUUCAGAACACCUUAGCAAUGGCAUAGCCACAUGGUAACCCCUAGCAUGGUAGCAAUGGAUCAGCAACAUGCGAACCAUUCAGAACACCCUAGAAAUGGCAUAAGAACUUACUAAAAACCAUUCAGAACACACUAGCAUUAGCAUAGCAAAUUGUAAACUAUUUAGUACACCCUAGAAAUGGCAUAACAACAUACUUACAACCAUCCAGAACAACCUAGCAAUGACAUAGCGAAUAAAUUGCUAAUAACCAUUUGGAAAACCCUAAAUGGCAUAACAACAUGCAAACCUUUCAGUACACUUUAGAGACUGCAUAACACCACCCUGACAAUAAUCCUGACAUUACGGUGCCAGGUAUUGCACAGUCAGUAUUUCCUCAGAAGUGUUCUGCACCCAUCUUAAAACGUUAUCUUGAAGUAGCCUUGAAGCAGCAGAUCUCUUAACACAUUUUGAGUUUAUGUGUGUGCGUGUGUUCUGACAGAUGUAUGUCUUUCUCAACAGUUUUUCGUGUGAAUGGGAAGUUUCUGCUCAUGUCAGACUUACGGGGAACCUUUAUCUUGGUUUUAACCUCAAACCGUCACUGAUGGAAGUGUGUUUCUGUGCUUGUAUGACGUCUAACAGCAUGACAGAAUGGUUCCAGACGUCCUUUCUCAAAAGGUCAAGGGAAUGGGAUUAUAUGUCAAGUGUCUGUGUCGUCAUGUUGGUUUCUAGAGAUCACCAGGCAUAUCGCACGUGUGUCACUGCACACACACGAGCAAGGCUGGCACAAAGCAGCUCAACAGAUGAGACCUCAUCAGCUGCAUCCGUUUAUAGUCAUGAACAGCUGUUUUAG